ACGUAGGCAGCAAGCGUUGUUCGGAUUCACUGGGCUUAAAGGGCGCGUAGGCGGGCAAGCAAGUCGGGGGUGAAAUCCUUCAGCUCAACUGGAGAACGGCCUUCGAUACUGCAUGUCUUGAGGGAGGUAGGGGCAGGUGGAACUUCCGGUGUAGCGGUGAAAUGCGUAGAUAUCGAGAGGAACACCUGCGGCGAAGGCGGGUUGCUGGGCUGACACUGACGCUGAUGCGCGAAAGCUAGGGGAGCGAACGGGA
rnacentral:rRNA from 1 species